ensembl:snRNA U4 U4 spliceosomal RNA
AGCUCUGCACAGUGACAGUAUCGGAGCCAGUGAGGUUUAUCUGAGGCGUGAUUAUUGCUAAUUGAAAACUUUUCCCAAUACCCUGCCGUGACCACUGGAAAUAUAGAAGCAUUGGCAAUUGUCGACAGUCUCUACGGAGA